rnacentral:misc_RNA from 1 species
CUGAGUUACCGCUCUACAACCCUUUGUGAACAUACCUAACUGUUGCUUCGGCGGGCAGAGGUCCCUCGCGGAUCUCUCCCGGCAACGCCCUCACGGGCGGAGCGCCCGCCGGAGGAUACCAAACUCUAUUUUAACGACGUUUCUUCUGAGUGGCACAAGCAAAUAAUUA